GGCAAGGAGGAUAGCAGAGGAAGGAAAGAAAAAAAAAAAAAACGUUAGGAGGAGCAGAAAGCAUAGGCAGGGUGACCUCCUCACCUCCUCAUCAAGACCCUGCCCGGGGCAGCUCCCCAGGAUCCCCGUCCAGGUCAGCAAUGCUCGAGGGACAGGCAGGCUGCCAGCUGUGGCCUCGGGCUGAGUGAGCCCCGUCUCUCAGGGCUCAGGCUCCUGACAGGGCCCCAGCAACCAGCCCAGCCGCUGUCCUUCAUUCAUCAUUCAGUGGACUGCCUGCUGUCCCGGGCCCCAGCGGCCCAGCCCAGCCCCUGCCCUCCGGGAGCCCUUCAGCCCAAGGGAGGUGGAAGACAUGUGAACAGAGAUUACAGGCAAGUGUGAGGCACUGAGUGGAGGGUAUCUGGGCUGGCACAGACGGAGUGGCAAGCCAAUUGGGGGCAGGGUGAGGAAGGGAGAGCCACUGACCAGCAGACACUCGAGCUGGGCCUCCAAACCACCCAAACUCACACCAGCAGAAUUCUCAGCCCCCAAGUCAGUGCCGAGGCCAGGCAAGGAGGGCCUUGUUGGGGGGACGGAGAAGGCUAAGAAGGGACUGUCCCUUGUGGGUCCCAGCUGGGAGGGCUCCCCCAGAGCCAUGGGUCACGCGGGUCAGGAGAACGGGAGGGCUCAGAGGAGCUGACACCUGGCUCUCUCAGGGGCAGCCCCUUUCUUUCACCCACCGCACAGGCAGUCUCCUGCCUUCAGGGGACUCAGAGGGGAGGGGAGAAAGUCUCAGGUACUCCCUAACCCCAUCUCAAAGAAGCCUCUUCUCAGCUCUCCCAGGCUUUGGAACACAGUAAUGGUGGCUGGAGGAGGGGGUGGAUUUAGAAGGGGGGGCCUGGUCCUGGGGCAAGCUGCACUGGGGCAGAGGUGCUGGGAGGGGCCUGGGCCCCAGAGGCUCCAACCCCAGCAACGGUUUCCAGGGGAGCAGGAGGGGCUGGCCCAGCUUCCAGGAGGCCAGUGGACCGUCUCCCGGCUGCAGCUGGUAGGCGGAUGGGGGUGGGGGAGGCCUCCUUCCCAGCCUCCUCAGACACAACUUAGUAAAUUUCUGCCACCUUUACCCUGAUGGCCGGGGGCUCCAUGAAGUGUAUGCAUUUGGGGAGGCGGGGAUCUGCGAGGAGGGGCUAGCUCCCAUGGAGGGGGGAGGGCCUGUCUGAGUCUUUCUCCUCAACUCCUCACCCUCUGGGGCAGAGGAAGCUCUCCUACUCUGGAACCUCCUCCUGAGCUCUCAGAAGCCCCAGCACAUCUUUCCAAGAGACACAGGCCACAGCUACACAGGGCACACACCAACAGCCAUGGGCCAUGGUCACCAACAGCUGAGCCAGCACAGCCGCCUGCCCACAGUGACAGGGGCUUGUCACUCCAAUGACACAACUCAGUCCCAUGGUCCCACUAAGGGGCCCCUCCCAAGUGCACAGGCACAGAGGGACCUUCAAGACUUCAAGACACACUUGUGAUCACAUAUUCACACGGUGAACAAAGCCACCAGCAUCAUAGUCAGACAGCCGGGCUAUCACGCCAGUUGUUCAUUCACUUAUCCAUUCAUUCAGUCCCUCCAUCAUCUUUAUUAGGCAGGAUGCCUCCCUCAAGGAGCCUGCAGGCCAGUUAAGACAAUAAACUGACUACUGUAACUGGUGAGCAGUAGGAGACAUGACAGGGGUGGAGGGGUGUCAAAGGAGGCCUGCCCAGACGGAGGAGCUCAGACAGGACCCCGGGAGGGGGAGAUGCAAAGAGGAUGUGUGGGAAGUGGCCAGGCAGAAGCUCGGGCCAGCAUGUCCCAGUCACAUGUAGACACAUCCAGCCCUGCUGUCGACAGGGACAGUCUCGGAACCACACGCUGACGAUCCCAAGCAAGACGCUGGGCUGCCGGGCACUCCUGCCGACGGCCGGGGCGCCGACGUUCCCACGGAGCCGGCUCCCUGGACACUGUGAUGCGCGCUGUGCCCAUUCGUCUCCUCGCCGCCGCCGGUUGGAGGAGGGGCUGCCGGGCCCCGCGGAGAGGAGAGGAGCCUGUGGUCGCGGGCCCCAUUAGCAUUCAGGGAAGCGAGUGUGCCAACGCGGGCCAAACCCCUAUUCUUCUCACACACAAAACCCCCGGCCUGGCUGCCAGCCCCGGCUCCUGCCCCUCCCCCAGCCAAGCAGCCCCCUUCCCCCAAACGGUCCCCUCGCUCCUCGUGGCCUCCAGGCGUCCCCUCUCAGGCCCCCAAGCAGGGUCCCAUCAGCAGAGCAUCCCGGACCCCAAGGAGAAGUGGGACAAGAUGUAGGGGAGGGCCGGGGGCUUGGGGGCACGGCCGCCGGGAGGACUCACUCGUUCGGGCCUCCCCCCAAGGUGGCCUGCGCGCCCAGGGACCAGACGCUGCUCCCCGGGACGCGAAAGGAGGGUGCAAGAAGGGUCCCAAGAGGGGCUGAGCGGGGCAGGGGGCCACGGCGGUGGGAAGACAGUUCGAUGCCCAAGGGAUGCAGGAGGAUCUAGAUGACUGACACCCCCAUCGUAUGACCUGAACGCCAAGAGAAACGGCACCAGAUGAGAUGAGCUCAACUUCUCAGCAGGAAGAGACAUUUCAGAUCACUUGUUCCAUCUCCAGCUUUUGCAGAGGAAAGAAACGGAGACUCCAAGAGCAGAAACGCUUUGCUCCAAGGUCACACAGCAGGGAAGAAGCAGGGCUGUGAUUAGAACGCAGGCCUCCUGCCUCCAGCCAGUGCCAACUCCACAACCCGCCCUGGCCCAGCACACAGAAUUCCUCACCCCGGUCCCCUGGGGAAGGCUGGGCAGCCAGCCCUCAGGCUUUCUCUUCCUUCAGCCACCACAGAGGUCUGACUCCGGAUAACCCAGAUGGACAGGCUCACUUGGGUCUGUGGGGAGCCGACACAGUAUCUGGCCUACAGCAGACAUCCACAGACAAGGCGACACGGCCCUGGGGCUCAGAGGAUGGCGCUUGAAGUCCAAUGGCUGUGCAAGUUACUUCGCCUUUUUCCAGUGGGGGCAGGAACCAAUUCUCAAAAUUUCAGGAACUUCACAAGUGUGUUAUUAAGCACAGCGAUUAUUAAAAAUUACAUUAUAAAAAGUUACAAAUAAAUUAUAUUAAACAACCAUAAUAAAUACUUAAAACUCGUCACUUCCCCAUUAUUUCAUUACGUUUUACUGUUUUCUGUGCUCUUGAGGUUCUUUAUGUCUCUUGUGUCUGUAAGGUGGGAAAACCACACAAUGGUGUGCUGCUGUUCAUCUCUUCCCAACUCCGUGUGCAGUGACGUCACGUUGACAACUUGAAAUCAGCCAUGAUGGGAAUAUUUGCACCACAGAAAUUGGCAAAUGCUAUGAAUCAAGAUUUUUUUUUUUCUGGAGAGUGGUUUUAAAACAUUAUCAGUAUACCAUUGUCUCCCAUUGUUAGAUGGGGAUAAAAAUAGUGCCCACUUCAUGUAGGAUGUGUAUAAAGCACUUAGCACAGUGUCAGAUACACAUUUUAAUAAACAGUGGUCAUAAAUAUUAUUAUUUGUAUCUCCUCAUCUCUGGACUGUACUGUCAUUAGGCAUUUCUAAGGCAAAUGCACCAUGAAAUAUUAUGUACCCAUUGGAAAUGAUCCCUACAAAAGAAUUGUAGUUAUUUGAGAAAAUUCUCAUGGUGUUAUGUAGAAAAGUCAGGCUAUAACGUUUUUUUAAAAAGGUUUAUUUUUUACUCACAAUUCUUUUU